rnacentral:rRNA from 1 species
CCUCGAAGAUGACGAGGUAAAUAGGUUCGAGGUGGAAGCGUAGCGAUACGUGGAGCUGACGAAUACUAAUCGAUCGAAGACUUAAUCAA